AGUUAAGUUUAUGAUUGUGAAAU
rnacentral:piRNA from 1 species